rnacentral:rRNA from 1 species
GAUCGUUUCCUUUAUUUAAUAUAAAGAAUACGAUUAUCUCGCGUCAAAUUAGGUAAUAGGUAUCUGUGACUUAAUAAAUUUAUCUAGCCUUAUUUGUAGUUUGUCUUAAACGUAACAAUCCACAAGGGCCAUGAAAGAAAGGCCUUCCAUCUUUGUAUGGCAGCAGUGCGUAAAAUUUGUCAAUACGUGAAAGCGUGAACAUGAUGUUUAUUAAAGUAUAUAUUUGACAUAAUUGUUAAAGUUCCGGCCAAUUCCGUGCCAGCAGCCGCGGUAAGACGGAAGGAGCAAGCUUAUUACGCAAGGAAUAGGUUUAAUCGAGUGUAGGUGUAAUAGUCAUAUAAGUGUAGCAUAAUUUAGUGUGUAACAGUAAAAUGUUUGAAAAUACUAAGGAAUGUCAAAUGGUGUAGACAGCUUAUCUUAACAAGACUUAAAAUUGAAACUCGGAAGUUCAGGUAGCGAACCGGAUUAGAGACCCGCAGUAGUCUGGACCGUCAAAAUGAUGAUUAAAUAAAUAAUCAUAUACCUGGUGAUACGUUCUCAAGAAUUGUAAUCAUAGAAAUUGGCAGCCAUAGAUAUACGCUGUGGAUCAUAUAGGUCCAGCUUUUAUAAUAUUAAAAGACUUACUUAACGCUAUAUGCUGAAAACGCCUUUAAUAAUUAGGCUCAUCAGCAGAUUAUUCGGCCGAGCACGUCCACGCGCGGAGGCGAGUACGUGUCGACCGAGACUCGUCGAGGGCGACUCGUACAGUAUUCUCAGAGACUAAACGCGUUAUAAUCAGACUAAGAUUGAAGAUAUAGUCCAAUUCUUAUUAAUUAGAAUAUGAAUUGCAUGCGGUUUAAUAGGAAGCAACGCCUAGAACCUUACCAUUCUUUAAAUAAUUAUAAACCCUUAGAGGCAUUAUAAAUAGAGAUGUGUUUAAAAAAUUACUUAGCUAGUCAACCAUUCCGUACUACACAGGUUGUCCGAUUUUUCCUUGAAAAAUCGUCUAGGAAAAAAACCUUUAGGUUUUUUUCCGCCUAUAACAUUAUACAAUACUAAAACCUCAUUUAAAGAGUUGUUGGGUAUAGAACGUGAGGCUGUUAGCAUUAUGUCUAUUGAAGAGUUAAACUCUAAUAUAGAGCAGUUAAAUUACCCAGGCAUUUAUGCCAUAUAUUGUAAGGUUGAUGGUAAAUUUUACAUAGGUGGGGCAACUGUAUUAAAAGAUAGACUUUAUAGUCAUCUCUGUGGUUUUCUUUCAAUGCCUAACAACCGUGUAAAACCUUCCUCUAACACACACCUACAAAAAUCUUUAGAAAUUUAUGGUCCAGCCAAUUUUCAGGUAAUCAUUUUACAUAAAUUCUUGUACGAGUCGCCCUCGACGAGUCUCGGGCGACACGUACUCGCCUGCGCGCGAGGACGUGUCCGAUUUUUUCUUUGA